rnacentral:tRNA from 1 species
UAUCAUAAAGGUUAAUUGAAUAGACCAUCUGCCUUCUAAGCAGGCGGUCUCAAAUUCGAAUCCUGAUGUGAUUA